rnacentral:rRNA from 1 species
UACGAAGGGGCUAGCGUUGCUCGGAAUCACUGGGCGUAAAGGGUGCGUAGGCGGGUCUUUAAGUCAGGGUGAAAUCCUGGAGCUCAACUCCAGAACUGCCUUUGAUACUGAAGAUCUUGAGUUCGGAGAGGUGAGUGGAACUGCGAGUGUAGAGGUGAAAUUCGUAGAUAUUCGCAAGAACACCAGUGGCGAAGGCGGCUCACUGGCCCGAUACUGACGCUGAGGCACGAAAGCGUGGGAGCAACAGG